rnacentral:tRNA from 1 species
GCAGGGGUAGCCAAGCCAGGCCAACGGCGCAGGACUUAAGAUCCUGUGGUGGAGACCUUCGUGGGUUCGAAUCCCACCCCCUGCA